rnacentral:rRNA from 1 species
UAAGCGACUAAGCGUACACGGUGGAUGCCCUGGCAGUCAGAGGCGAUGAAGGACGUGCUAAUCUGCGAUAAGCGUCGGUAAGGUGAUAUGAACCGUUAUAACCGGCGAUUUCCGAAUGGGGAAACCCAGUGUGAUUCGUCACACUAUCAUUAACUGAGUCCAUAGGUUAAUGAGGCGAACCGGGGGGAACUGAAACAUCUAAGUACCCCGAGGAAAAGAAAUCAACCGAGAUUCCCCCAGUAGCGGCGAGCGAACGGGGAGCAGCCCAGAGCCUGAAUCAGUGUGUGUGUUAGUGGAAGCGUCUGGAAAGGCGCGCGAUACAGGGUGACAGCCCCGUACACAAAAAUGCACAUACUGUGAGCUCGAUGAGUAGGGCGGGACACGUGGUAUCCUGUCUGAAUAUGGGGGGGACCAUCCUCCAAGGCUAAAUACUCCUGACUGACCGAUAGUGAACCAGUACCGUGAGGGAAAGGCGAAAAGAACCCCGGCGAGGGGAGUGAAAAAGAACCUGAAACCGUGUACGUACAAGCAGUGGGAGCCACAGCAAUCGGGUGACUGCGUACCUUUUGUAUAAUGGGUCAGCGACUUAUAUUCUGUAGCAAGGUUAACCGAAUAGGGGAGCCGAAGGGAAACCGAGUCUUAACUGGGCGUUAAGUUGCAGGGUAUAGACCCGAAACCCGGUGAUCUAGCCAUGGGCAGGUUGAAGGUUGGGUAACACUAACUGGAGGACCGAACCGACUAAUGUUGAAAAAUUAGCGGAUGACUUGUGGCUGGGGGUGAAAGGCCAAUCAAACCGGGAGAUAGCUGGUUCUCCCCGAAAGCUAUUUAGGUAGCGCCUCGUGAAUUCAUCUCCGGGGGUAGAGCACUGUUUCGGCAAGGGGGUCAUCCCGACUUACCAACCCGAUGCAAACUGCGAAUACCGGAGAAUGUUAUCACGGGAGACACACGGCGGGUGCUAACGUCCGUCGUGAAGAGGGAAACAACCCAGACCGCCAGCUAAGGUCCCAAAGUCAUGGUUAAGUGGGAAACGAUGUGGGAAGGCCCAGACAGCCAGGAUGUUGGCUUAGAAGCAGCCAUCAUUUAAAGAAAGCGUAAUAGCUCACUGGUCGAGUCGGCCUGCGCGGAAGAUGUAACGGGGCUAAACCAUGCACCGAAGCUGCGGCAGCGACACUGUGUGUUGUUGGGUAGGGGAGCGUUCUGUAAGCCUGUGAAGGUGUACUGUAAGGUAUGCUGGAGGUAUCAGAAGUGCGAAUGCUGACAUAAGUAACGAUAAAGCGCGUGAAAAGCCCGCUCGCCGGAAGACCAAGGGUUCCUGUCCAACGUUAAUCGGGGCAGGGUGAGUCGACCCCUAAGGCGAAGCCGAAAGGCGUAGUCGAUGGGAAACAGGUUAAUACUCCUGUACUUGGUGUUACUGCGAAGGGGGGACGGAGAAGGCUAUGUUGGCCGGGCGACGGUUGUCCCGGUUUAAGCGUGUAGGCUGGUUUUCCAGGCAAAUCCGGAAAAUCAAGGCUGAGGCGUGAUGACGAGGCACUACGGUGCUGAAGCAACAAAUGCCCUGCUUCCAGGAAAAGCCUCUAAGCAUCAGGUAACAUCAAAUCGUACCCCAAACCGACACAGGUGGUCAGGUAGAGAAUACCAAGGCGCUUGAGAGAACUCGGGUGAAGGAACUAGGCAAAAUGGUGCCGUAACUUCGGGAGAAGGCACGCUGAUAUGUAGGUGAAGUCCCUCGCGGAUGGAGCUGAAAUCAGUCGAAGAUACCAGCUGGCUGCAACUGUUUAUUAAAAACACAGCACUGUGCAAACACGAAAGUGGACGUAUACGGUGUGACGCCUGCCCGGUGCCGGAAGGUUAAUUGAUGGGGUCAGCGCAAGCGAAGCUCUUGAUCGAAGCCCCGGUAAACGGCGGCCGUAACUAUAACGGUCCUAAGGUAGCGAAAUUCCUUGUCGGGUAAGUUCCGACCUGCACGAAUGGCGUAAUGAUGGCCAGGCUGUCUCCACCCGAGACUCAGUGAAAUUGAACUCGCUGUGAAGAUGCAGUGUACCCGCGGCAAGACGGAAAGACCCCGUGAACCUUUACUAUAGCUUGACGCUGAACAUUGAGCCUUGAUGUGUAGGAUAGGUGGGAGGCUUUGAAGUGUGGACGCCAGUCUGCAUGGAGCCGACCUUGAAAUACCACCCUUUAAUGUUUGAUGUUCUAACGUGGACCCGUGAUCCGGGUUGCGGACAGUGUCUGGUGGGUAGUUUGACUGGGGCGGUCUCCUCCUAAAGAGUAACGGAGGAGCACGAAGGUUGGCUAAUCCUGGUCGGACAUCAGGAGGUUAGUGCAAUGGCAUAAGCCAGCUUGACUGCGAGCGUGACGGCGCGAGCAGGUGCGAAAGCAGGUCAUAGUGAUCCGGUGGUUCUGAAUGGAAGGGCCAUCGCUCAACGGAUAAAAGGUACUCCGGGGAUAACAGGCUGAUACCGCCCAAGAGUUCAUAUCGACGGCGGUGUUUGGCACCUCGAUGUCGGCUCAUCACAUCCUGGGGCUGAAGUAGGUCCCAAGGGUAUGGCUGUUCGCCAUUUAAAGUGGUACGCGAGCUGGGUUUAGAACGUCGUGAGACAGUUCGGUCCCUAUCUGCCGUGGGCGCUGGAGAACUGAGGGGGGCUGCUCCUAGUACGAGAGGACCGGAGUGGACGCAUCACUGGUGUUCGGGUUGUCAUGCCAAUGGCACUGCCCGGUAGCUAAAUGCGGAAGAGAUAAGUGCUGAAAGCAUCUAAGCACGAAACUUGCCCCGAGAUGAGUUCUCCCUGACCCUUUAAGGGUCCUGAAGGAACGUUGAAGACGACGACGUUGAUAGGCCGGGUGUGUAAGCGCAGCGAUGCGUUGAGCUAACCGGUACUAAUGAACCGUGAGGCUCAACCU